UCCAGACUCCUACGGGAGGCAGCAGUGAGGAAUAUUGGUCAAUGGGCGGGAGCCUGAACCAGCCAAGCCGCGUGAGGGAAGAAGGUACAGCGUAUCGUAAACCUCUUUUGUCAGGGAACAAAGGCGGGGACUAGUCCCCGGAUGAGGGUACCUGAAGAAAAAGCAUCGGCUAACUCCGUGCCAGCAGCCGCGGUAAUACGGAGGAUGCGAGCGUUAUCCGGAUUUAUUGGGUUUAAAGGGUGCGCAGGCGGAUUUUUAAGUCAGCGGUAAAAUCGUGGGGCUCAACCCCAUCCAGCCGUUGAAACUGGGGAUCUAGAGUGUGCGAGAGGUAUGCGGAAUGCGUGGUGUAGCGGUGAAAUGCAUAGAUAUCGCGCAGAACUCCGAUUGCGAAGGCAGCAUGCCGGCUCCACACUGACGCUGAGGCACGAAAGCGUGGGUAUCGAACAGGAUUAGAUACCCGUGUA
rnacentral:rRNA from 1 species